rnacentral:rRNA from 1 species
UACGUAGGGUGCAAGCGUUGUCCGGAAUUAUUGGGCGUAAAGAGCUCGUAGGCGGUUCGUCGCGUCGGCUGUGAAAUCCCGAGGCUCAACCUCGGGUCUGCAGUCGAUACGGGUGGACUUGAGUUCGGCAGGGGAGACUGGAAUUCCUGGUGUAGCGGUGAAAUGCGCAGAUAUCAGGAGGAACACCGGUGGCGAAGGCGGGUCUCUGGGCCGAAACUGACGCUGAGGAGCGAAAGCGUGGGGAGCGAACAGG